rnacentral:rRNA from 1 species
GAUGAACGCUAGCGGCAGGCUUAAUACAUGCAAGUCGAGGGGCAGCAUGAUUGUAGCAAUACAAUUGAUGGCGACCGGCAAACGGGUGCGGAACACGUACACAACCUCCCAAUAAGUGGGGAAUAGCCCAGAGAAAUUUGGAUUAAUACCCCGUAACAUAACGAUGUGGCAUCACAUUGUUAUUAUAGAUUUUUCGCUUAUUGAUGGGUGUGCGGCUGAUUAGAUAGUUGGCGGGGUAACGGCCCACCAAGUCUACGAUCAGUAGCUGAUGUGAGAGCAUGAUCAGCCACACGGGCACUGGGACACGGGCCCGACUCCUACGGGAGGCAGCAGUAAGGAAUAUUGGACAAUGGACGCAAGUUUGAUCCAGCCAUGCCGCGUGAAGGAUUAAGGUCCUCUGGAUUGUAAACUUCUUUUAUAAGGGACGAAAAAAGGCUUUUCUAAGUCGUCUGACGGUACCUUAUGAAUAAGCACCGGCUAACUCCGUGCCAGCCGCCGCAGUAACAC